GAACGCAGCGAAUUGCGAUAAGUAAUGUGAAUUGCAGAAUUACGUGAAUCAUCGAAUCUUUGAACGCAUAUUGCACUCUCUGGUAAUCCGGGGGGCAUGCCUGUUUGAGGGUCAGUA
rnacentral:rRNA from 1 species